rnacentral:rRNA from 1 species
GACGAACGCUGGCGGCGUGCUUAACACAUGCAAGUUGAACGGAAAGGCCCUGCUUUUGUGGGGUGCUCGAGUGGCGAACGGGUGAGUAACACGUGAGUAACCUGCCCUUGACUUUGGGAUAACUUCAGGAAACUGGGGCUAAUACCGGAUAGGAGCUCCUGCUGCAUGGUGGGGGUUGGAAAGUUUCGGCGGUUGGGGAUGGACUCGCGGCUUAUCAGCUUGUUGGUGGGGUAGUGGCUUACCAAGGCUUUGACGGGUAGCCGGCCUGAGAGGGUGACCGGCCACAUUGGGACUGAGAUACGGCCCAGACUCCUACGGGAGGCAGCAGUGGGGAAUAUUGCACAAUGGGCGGAAGCCUGAUGCAGCAACGCCGCGUGCGGGAUGACGGCCUUCGGGUUGUAAACCGCUUUCGCCUGUGACGAAGCGUGAGUGACGGGAAUGGGUAAAGAAGCACCGGCUAACUACG